UGAGCAAUCUGCCCUUCUCUUCGGAAUAAGCGUUGGAAACGACGUCUAAUGCCGAAUACGACCUCCUUUCGCAUGAUCGGAGGUGGAAAGCUCCGGCGGAGAAGGAUGAGCUCGCGGCCUAUCAGCUAGUUGGUGUGGGUAAUGGCUCACCAAGGCGACGACGGGUAGCCGGCCUGAGAGGGCGAUUGGCCACACUGGGACUGAGACACGGCCCAGACCUCUACGGGGA
rnacentral:rRNA from 1 species